AUGAACGCUGGCGGCGUGCCUAAUCCCUGCAAGUCGAGCGAACAGACGAGGAGCUUGCUCCUCUGACGUUAGCGGCGGACGGGUGAGUAACACGUGGAUAACCUACCUAUAAGACUGGGAUAACUUCGGGAAACCGGAGCUAAUACCGGAUAAUAUAUUGAACCGCAUGGUUCCAUAGUGAAAGACGGUUUUGCUGUCACUUAUAGAUGGAUCCGCGCCGCAUUAGCUAGUUGGUAAGGUAACGGCUUACCAAGGCAACGAUGCGUAGCCGACCUGAGAGGGUGAUCGGCCACACUGGAACUGAGACACGGUCCAGACUCCUACGGGAGGCAGCAGUGGGGAAUAUUGCACAAUGGGCGGAAGCCUGAUGCAGCAACGCCGCGUGCGGGAUGACGGCCUUCGGGUUGUAAACCGCUUUCGCCUGUGACGAAGCGUGAGUGACGGUAAUGGGUAAAGAAGCACCGGCUAACUACGUG
rnacentral:rRNA from 1 species